GACGAACGCUGGCGGCGUGCUUAACACAUGCAAGUCGAACGGAAAGGCCCUUCGGGGUACUCGAGUGGCGAACGGGUGAGUAACACGUGGGUGAUCUGCCCUGCACUUUGGGAUAAGCCUGGGAAACUGGGUCUAAUACCGAAUAGGACCACGCGCUUCAUGGUGUGUGGGGGAAAGCUUUUGCGGUGUGGGAUGGGCCCGCGGCCUAUCAGCUUGUUGGUGGGGUAAUGGCCUACCAAGGCGACGACGGGUAGCCGGCCUGAGAGGGUGACCGGCCACACUGGGACUGGGAUACGGCCCAGACUCCUACGGGAGGCAGCAGUGGGGAAUAUUGCACAAUGGGCGCAAGCCUGAUGCAGCGACGCCGCGUGAGGGAUGACGGCCUUCGGGUUGUAAACCUCUUUCAAUAGGGACGAAGCGCAAGUGACGGUACCUAUAGAAGAAGCACCGGCCAACUACGUG
rnacentral:rRNA from 1 species